rnacentral:lncRNA from 1 species
GAUACUACAUGAACAAGUGCUCCAAGCUAACCUGAGGGUUUAUCUUGUCAAGCUGCAAAACAACCUCACCCAAGAACUUGUAUCCGGAGCCAUCUUUUGCAUGGAAGUUCACAGGUGACCCACAGAAUCCCCCGAUUAACGAGUACACCUGAAUUUUUUUUAAACCCAGUCUUAGUUGGGUCCUCAAACUCCACAUUCAAAAUUUACGCCAAGAUAAGUCAAAGCUGGUAGCACCGUGUACCUUGUUGGGAUUCCUCAUGUCAAAAGCAGGGUGAGACAGAAGCUUCUCAACAUUUACCACAUUUCCAGGAAUGUCCGAAGUAGCUUGAAGAGCAAACCACUUGCUUACAACCUAUCCCAGCAUAAAAGCAAAUACAGGUACCCACUUAAAACAAGCGUGCUACAUUGGUUCUAAAAUUGAUUUGUUCACUAUCUGUAAGGCAUGUAUAAUCAGCAUGCAUGCAUGUAUGUAUGUAUCUUACCAAAUAUUCGUUCUGCCACUUGUUAUAGAAAUCCAAAAGGGCGUCAUCACGAACUUGGCCUGGAUUUUGAGAUAGUGCUGCUAAGGCAGCAAACUGCUCUGUCAUGUUAGUUGCAGUCUUGUAUUCAUGCAGUGCAAGUUCAGUGACAUCUGGCUCAUUCAGGGAUGCAAGGUAUGC